GAAGAGAAGAACUUGGAAGGAGAAGAAGAAAAUCCAUGGAGAUUUUCCAUCAUCACCACCAUAUCAACUUCUUUAUCAUCAUCAUCAUCAUCACAAACUUCAUUUAUAUCUCAUUAUAUUCUUUUUGAGCAAGGUGAGUUCCAUAGAUAGAAUUAGCUUUGGAAGGGAAGAUUUCAUGACUUGGGAGUUAGGAUUUGUG
rnacentral:lncRNA from 1 species